rnacentral:lncRNA from 1 species
UUUUUUAUGCAAGUUUUCUCGGAACAUUUGAAGGUAGCCUGCAUCUUUCUUACCUUUAUUUGGACUAUUAAUAUGUUCCUUGUCUGAUCCCACCAAAAGAUAUCUCACGCAGCUCUUUAUAAUUUAAUUUAAAGCAGGAUGACUUUCAGCAGUUCCUUUUCAAUCUUCAUGCAUUUAUCAAGAAAGCUAUACUUUGUUAUUUGCAAUGAUAAAAUAGCUACAGCAAAGAUAUACUGAUUUUGUGUUUGAAUCAAUGUGUUCUGUUAUGAUGAAUGCCUCUUUUAUCUGCAAAACUGAUGUGCUCCUUCAGUGGCGGAGCUAAGACCAAAAAACUGGGCGGGCCUACCCAAAUGAGAGUACAAAAAUCAUGUGUAGAUGACAUAUUACAAGCAUAUAAAUAUACGUCUAUAAUACUAACAUGCAUUUUUAACACGCACCUGGCAUCAUCUAAUCUGAGUGUUGUUUACGUGUGCUUCAUGCUCAGAAUACAUCCAUCAGCUAGCUUAAGCUUGCCAGGCUUGCUACCUACGUGUGUUGGCCACAACGGUGGGCGGGCCACGGCAUGCCUUUGCCCCAACGAAGCUCCGCCACUGCGCUCCUUUAUAGGUCUCUUGUUGCAAAACCUGUGGACGGCAUAUUCAUUUCAAGGUAUAACUAUACUCUAUAUCUUCUAGCACACAACCAUUAUGAUUGUUUCUAUGAACGUUAGGACUUGGCAGAUUUAGAUUCGAUUCUUUUGAGGGAACUCCCUUCUAUACAAGGUGCUCAAGCAGUCUGUUCCAUACAUCUCCUUGUCCCCUCAUGUGACAAGCAUUUGCGUAUUAUAUUAUAUUCCUUUAUGAAAGAUUGUCUUCUACAAUUUGUAUUUCUGUGCAGAGACUUGCACUCAAAAGAGAUUAGUUGACAUCAAGUGAUACAAACAAGUGAUUCCCUAGAGAUUCUUGUGUAUAAGCAAUCAGCUAAAUGAGAUUAUUUGACAUCUUGGUUGGUUCCUGAGGUGUACUAUAGUGGUGACCUAUAUCAAUGCUUUGAUCACAUUAAAUUGCAUACAGUAUUUCUCUUCUGCUCGAAAUAGAUGAUGUGGCAAAAGUAAGUUUGUGCUCCCCUAAAAAAACUUUAUAUCUGAAUUAGUCUACUUAUGAAACAUAUCUACUCAUCAGAAAUAUUAAGCAAUACAAAAUUAAGUAGUUAGCUUAAAAAAGAAUUAAGUAUUCUGAUAUUCAUUUAGAUGUUCAUGGAUCUGAUGAUCGAAUACUAAUGAAUAUGAGCAGGGGUUAUGGACCUGGAACAUUCCAAAGCCUAAAGAAUUCCUUUGAGCUUAAGGGUUGCAUAAGCAAACGAGCGAGAAGUAAGGUGGAGAGUAAAGCUAUAGAAAGUAGGGCGGACAACAAGACUAGACUCACCAUCGUCUGAUUUAGGCGCUGCAGACACAGGUAAUGAAGGGUGACACAGGGAGGGGCAGAGAGGCACUUGCGAUGGAGGUACGUGUCCAGAUUCUCCCUCGUCUCCAUAGACAUGGAAGAGAUUGCUGAGGUGUGCUCUUGCGGGGCCAUGCUAUCAUGGGGUUUGCGCUUGGACAUGCAAGAUGUGAUUUCUACUGUUAGAUAUAUAUGACCAUGGCUUGUGGUGUACUGUGUGAGGAGCCCAUGGAGUGACGUCGUUCAAGGAGUAACCAUGAUUACCAUUCCGUACCAAGAAUGUGGUAUAUUUAAAUUUGUAUGUCGCAAGUCACCGUAGCAAUGUGCAUACCAUAAUGAAAUGAAAUAAGUUUAUGGUUACUGUCAUUUUAGUUAACCAGGUCUUUGUUUUAGUUUCUUUUUCUCCGGUAUACAUGACAUUUAUUAUUCUUUAUGUUCCUUUGCAGUCCCAAAACUGUUACCUUCGCUGGAGCCAAAAAAACAUUGCACUAA